UCAGGGGGCGCCUGCAGGGGGUAGGAGCCGCUCUCAAGGAUGUCUGUCUGUAGCCCCAUGGUGGGGUAUAUGUUUGUAACCCCAUUGCAGGAUAUCUGGGUUGGUGAGUAUCCUAGGCAUUGCCAAUGCCUCCUUCCUUCUGCUGACUGGUUCUGUACCCUCCGGUGGGGUGUCUGUAGCCCCACUGAGGGAUGUUGGCUUGUAGCUCCACCAUGGGGUGUCUGUGUCUGUAACCCAAUUCGGGGUGUCUGUCUCAGUUUGUCUCCUGGGGGUCUCAGUUGGCUCUUUCUUUUAUAUUUAUUUUUUGAGACAGAGUCUCCCUCUGUCACCCAGGCUGGAGUGCAGUGGCACAAUCUUGGCUCACUGCAACCUCUGCCUCCUGAGUUGGGAUCAAGUGAUUCUGCUGCCUCAGCCUCCUGAGUAGCUGGCACUACAGGUGUGCACCAGCAUGCCCGGCUAAUUUUUGCAUUUUUUGUAGAGAUGGGAUUUUACCACACUGGCCAGGCUGGUCUCGAACUUCUGUCCUCAAGUGAUCCUCCUGCCUUGGCCUCUUAAAGUGCUGGGAUUACAGGCGCGAGCCACUGCGCCCAGCCUCAGUUGGCUCUUUCUAACUAGUAGAAAGAGUCUUGGUUUGGGAGACUUCUCCUCAAUCAGGAAGAUUUCGAGGAGAUUUCUCAGAUGGAGAAUAGAAGGACAGUUUGGAAGGGACACUCUUGGAGUUCUUGGUUAGGGAUCUGAUUUGGAAAACGCUGUGUUCAUCUUGUCUUUAUGUGUGUUUGUAUAUGUGGAGGGGAUCUCAGAGGGAAUUGCUGAUGGACGUUCAGCAGGCCUAACUCAGAGAACCCUCCUUAUUUGUCUGGUCACAUUCGGUGAGCCCUGAAAAAUGCUCAGCAGGCCUGUCUCGGGGUGACUAUGUGCUCUUCGCCUUGCCCAGAGACCCCAUUGUGAAUUACCCUUUGGAGGUCAUCCCGCCCCAGCUGGGGUGGAUCAAAGACAACAGAGACCAACGGGAGAAAGUUUGGGCUUUGCCAGGCUGAUAGUGGGUGCUGAAUGAGGUGAUUCAUGUCUGUUUUGUUAUGUGUAUUUCGCUGGGAUGGAAAAUGUUAAUUGGGUUCCCCAGGCAGCCUGUUGGGCAGCAUCUUGCAAAUUAAGAAUCUUGUCUGUGGUUCCAUAACACAGAAAGGGGUGAUUUUCUCUUGUAAAGUGGUUUGAACCCCACAGCCAUGGCACUAGCGAGCAGGGUCAUCAGAGCUGCUCCAUUCUUCUGGAAGCUGCAGAGAAAGGGAGCCCGGAAACCUGGUAUGCCGGCAAAAAGGGUAAGUGGCAGGGAAAAAGGGGAGGAGAGAGAAAAGACAGACUCAGUUGGCCUCAUGCUAUCUUCACUGGGUCUUGUUGGAAAGCUAAGUCUCCUCUAUCAGAGUAAAGAUUUUUCCUUUUUAAAAUUUUUGGAGCUAUCAUUUUGGCCAAAUGGAUGACUUAUGGUGACCUGGGAUGCUAUUUUGUGAUAUUCAGUGUUUUAAACCUUUGAUAUUUGACAAACGUUCCAAAACCAAAUUAUAAAUUAUGUCUCUUUUUAACCUUUUAGAUAUUAGGUUCUUUAAAGUCCAAAAAUGACAUUUGGCUUAUUUGGUAUAAAAAUCAUACAGAAAGCAUUGUCAAAUAUGACAUGGUGUUUGGCUUUCUUUGGGCUAUAUUUGUGCAAAUAUGUUAUUGACACAUAUUUCAAAAUUAUGUAAAACACCUAUAAUUCUAAUAUGACUUAGUAUAAGUUAUCAGUAAUAAUUAUAAUUAUUAUGUUAAAUGACUGUGUGCCACAGAGGUAACAAAUUUCCUUGCCAAUUGUGUCUUUAACUGUGGCUGCCCUAAAAUGUUUUGUCAUCCACAGGCAAUUGUUGUCUCAUUUUGGUCCUCUUUUUUUCUUUUUUUUUUUUUUUGGAGAUGGAGUUUCACUCUUGUACUCUUGUCGCCCAGGCUGGAGUGCAAUGACACGAUCUUGGCUGACUGCAACCUCUGCCUCCCGGGUUCAAGCAAUUCUCCUGCCUCAGCCUCCUGAGCAGAUGGGAUUACAGUUUAUAAUCAGGUAUAAGUCUCUUGGGGAAUCUGACCUCAUACCUCAUCUAUGCAGUUCCUGUACAAGGUUCCUGACCUGUGGUCUUUAGAUAAACUCUUUCAACCAACUGCCAAUCAGAAAAUCUGUGAAUCUGCCUGUGAUCUGGAAGCCUCUGCUUCCUGGUGUGCCACCUUUCCCGUCUGAACUGAUGUACAGCUUAAAUGUAUUGAUUGAUGCCUUAUGCCCUAUAGCAUGUAUAAAACCUAGCUGUGCCCUGAUCACCUGGGUCACACGUUCUCCGGGUCUCCUGAGGACUGUGUCACGGGCUGUGGUCACUCACGUUUGGCUCGAAAUAAAUCUCUCCAAUAUUUUACAGAGUUUGUUCUUUUUGUUGACAAUCUUUUAAAAUGUCUAAUCAGGAGAAAA
rnacentral:lncRNA from 10 species